AUGAGCAACUGCCCUGCACUAAAAGGCCAUGUUGUAACCAAUCACAACUUCUGAAUUCCUGCAUGACAUCAUGAGCCCUGCCUCAAACUUCUGUUAUUUUUUCCUCCACCUUCUUCAAUUGUUCCUACAAACUUGGCGACAGGCAGACAAGUUGCCAGAGAAGUCCAGACAAAGUUUCCCACAGCUCAGAACACAUUAUCUUACAAUUCACUAAUAAUCAUCAUCAGAGGUGGCAGAAACUGAGGACAGGCAGAAAACGAGAACAAGAUGAAAUACAUGCGAAUCCCAAUUUCUUACUACUGCAGCUGAACCAACAGCAGCUACAAUCAAGAAUUCAGUUGCAAGCACAAGGUCAGACUAGUGCAGAGUAUGGAUCUUGCUAACAACAGAGGCCUCAACUUGCUACUCAAUUUCCUGCUUAUUGUUAUGGUUCUGGUGCUCAUGUUUAUCCUUGUGAAACUCAUGUGAAUCUCGAGGUUCUGCUUUUUUUGCAAUGAUAACUUAACACUUCAAACUAUCUGAACAUGUAAAGAUUGCAUAAGCUAGAGAAGUGUCUCUAAAGUAUAUGAUUAUUACGUGCUCGUGUAUCUACUCUACAGCAAAAUAGCUUAAAAGAAAAACAAUCAACACACUUGCUGAAGGCUAAGGGGAGUGUAUAGUUCCAUGCUGAUGACAAAAGGACACUGUAUCUAAGCACACACAGUACUCUUGCCACUGAUAUAAUAAACUGAUUACUUGUGUUUAAACAACUAAGAAUCAAAGGCAGGAGUCUUCUAGGAGUACAAUCUCUGCAAAGAGGAUAAGAGAAAUAAAAAAAAAUGGAAUCUCCACCGGGCGGCCUCUCUGAAGAAAACUGAAACACAGGCCUCAAAAGGACAAGAGAGAUGUCUAAAGCUGAUUGAUGGCAAGUAUCAGAUUACGUACGGAAAAGAAAAACAAUGUUGUUGUGGCUAUUCAAAGGCAAAUCCCACCAUCUGGUCACAGGAUUUGUCAUGCAUGUUCAAAUAUAAAAAAUUAAUAACUGCAGCUUUUUAAAAGACGCACCAUCCACUGCAGCAUUUGAAAAAAAAAAAAAAACACCUCAACAAGCAGUUCUAUUAUCCAUCAAUAUUGAAAGAAUUUCACCUAUCACCAGCUGUUAAGCUUAAAAUUUUGAGCAACAAGGUAAUAUAAAAUAGAGAACACUAUCAAGUCUCACUCUACUUCAGUCUCUCUGAAGUUUGCUGAAAGUCUCAUGCAAUAGUAGAUGGGAUGGCCUGGAUACUUACAAUUAAAGCUUUUCACUGUUGUCUACAAAUGAAGUAUGUGCAAUAAAUAUUUAAACAACUUUUCUAAAAAUCAAAAAGACUUAUAUAGCAACAAGCUGUAAAGUCAAUAGCUAUUCUAUGUUGACACAGUAUUGUCAAUUUCUAUAUCGACUAUUAGUGUAUGUUUCAAAGAGGAAAAAGUUACCCAGCUGCUUCAUAAUAAGCACUUUAUCAUAUUUUGUUUGAUAUUUUGGAGGAUAUUCUGCUUUUAUAAAAUGUCUGUACAUUCAUAUACAAGGGAUCUAAAUUAUAGCAAAGGGUUCGUUCAAUGUUUCGAUUAACCCUUUAGAGCGUCAGUGAGUAGGCACAUUACCAUAACAUGAAGUAAACCAAAUCCAAACAAACAUACAAACUGAUCCAAUUAUCUAAUGACAUGCCUAUUCACAGAUAUGCUGCAUAUAUUGCUUUAGAAUGUACUGUGUGUGUGUGUAUAUAUAUAAAAACAACUACAGCUAUCUAAGAGUUUGUAUCAAAAGAGACAAUUUGAAAAAAAAAAAAGGAAAAAAUGGUGACUCUAUGGGUUGUAUUUAUAUUUCGCUUUUUAUCCGAAAUCACUUUACAAACAAAGCAUACAAGAAUCUCACCACUCUCCACUAAUGCGUAGCUACCUCUGGGGUGGAAUGAAACAACUGUUUAUCCCAGUGAUACUACACAAGUUUGAGACAGAUAAAACAUACAGCUUUAACUAGACAGAAUAUAAAUUUGUAUGAGCUACUGGGAGUAACAUCCUUCUGCAGCAAACAGAGGCAUAAUACUUUUACUGAUCAAAAAUGGUCAGGAUUGGAUUUACACAUCAGCCAUCAGCACGUAUUGAAACCCAGUCCCACAUAUUUAUUAUAUUAAGAUGAAUCCCUAGUUGUCAAAUCCCAAGACCACUUACUUCACAAUCAACAGAAUAUAAAAAGCAACUUCAGUGAGGCACAACAAUGAAUAUUAAUUAAACUAAAAGUGACUGCAGUUUUUAGCAUGAAAAAUUCUCUCUGAAAAUAGCAUUUAAUUAAAAUUUAAAUUUUCUGUGGGGAAAUGUUGAUUUUGAGAAAAGGAUUUCAAUUUUUUGAUCAAGUGGGAUGAAAAUAAAAAUAUUAUAAGUUGACAUUUCAAAAUGAAACUUGCUUCAUUUCAAAAUGUCAAUUUGAAGAGAAUGGUAUCAUUUCAACAUGUCAGAUUGUUUUGCUCAUAAAUGUAGACAUUUAGUUGAAUAUUUCCAAUUCACAAGUUGAAAUAUUUUGAUUUGCAAAACGUUGGGAUAUUUUGACUUUCCAUUCUGAUUUGGAAUGCAAACUAAUUAUGAAUUGUCUAAAUUUCCCAAGAGACGAAAAUCUCAUUUCCUGACCAGCUCUAAUAUUAACCUAUGCAUGCUCUAAACAGAGAGGAGGGCUAAGCACCUUGUUAAUGGAAAAUGGCAAAAAGACAAAUUAAGGCGAAAGCCAGACUAUUGAGUAAUUUCCAUCCAGCACAGAUGUAGCCUCCCAGAUGAACUGGUGCAGUAUACUAAACUCAAGUGUAAUUGCAGUAUGAAACAAAACAAAAAACACACACACACAAACAGAGCAUGAUACAAUGAGAGCACUGGGGGGAAGAGGGGGUGGUAGGAUGUGUGGUGUGGACAUCGACCUGGCUUCAGCACAGAGUCAGCUUCACUUUAUACAGCCGCCCUGGGGCCAGUCCCAGUUUACACAAGGCAGUGAGACCCCACCCAGGAAAUGGUGGGGGAGGGGGCUCCACUCAUCAUCAAAAUCCAGCUGCUCAGACUGGGGAGAAGGCCAGCAUGAGCCAGCACCCGACCCUGCUCCCCUUAGUGCCUGGAGAACCAACCCCUCCUCAGAGUUUUCUUUGGGCCGCUGUAGCUCUGACCUCUUCGUGCCAUGAUGUGGCCAGGAAUGGUAGCACCAUGAUGCAGGUCUCGGCCUAUGGAGCUGCAUGUUGUUUCUUGUGCAAAGGAGCAAACAUGGCUCCUCCAGUUAUUCCUGCAGGAUGUUUCUGCAUCCUUGGUUUCAAGAUUUCUGUGGGUCCAACUGAACCCAUGAACUCCUGCUAAAGCCACCCUGCCUUCCACCUAUUAUAUCAAUACUAGAGGCAGAUGCAAGUCAGAGUAGUCUAAAGAAGCCUCUUUUCACCAAGCAAGAAAGAGUCCUGUGGCACCUUAAAGACUAACAGAUAUAUUGGAGCAUAAGCAUUUGUGGGUGAAUACGCAUGCA